CCUACGGGUGGCUGCAGUGGGGAAUAUUGGACAAUGGGCGAAAGCCUGAUCCAGCCAUGCCGCGUGUGUGAAGAAGGCCUUCGGGUUGUAAAGCACUUUCAGUGGGGAAGAAAGCCUUGGGGCUAAUACCCUCGAGGAAGGACAUCACCCACAGAAGAAGCACCGGCUACCUCCGUGCCAGCAGCCGCGGUAAUACGGAGGGUGCGAGCGUUAAUCGGAAUUACUGGGCGUAAAGCGCGCGUAGGCGGUCUGAUAAGCCGGUUGUGAAAGCCCCGGGCUCAACCUGGGAACGGCAUCCGGAACUGUCAGGCUAGAGUGCAGGAGAGGAAGGUAGAAUUCCCGGUGUAGCGGUGAAAUGCGUAGAGAUCGGGAGGAAUACCAGUGGCGAAGGCGGCCUUCUGGACUGACACUGACGCUGAGGUGUGAAAGCGUGGGUAGCAAACAGGAUUAGAUACCCCUGUAGUC
rnacentral:rRNA from 1 species